rnacentral:rRNA from 1 species
AAUUUUAACGGCCGCGGUAUCCUAACCGUGCAAGAGUAGCGUAAUCACCUGUUUCUUAAUUAGAGACCCGUAUGAACGGCACCACGAGAGUCAUGCUGUCUCCUUUUUCCGGUCAGUGAAACUAAUCUCCCUGUGAAAUAGCAGGAAUUCUUUAACGAGACGAGAAGACCCUUUGGAGCUUAAGACAAAUAAAAUUAUAUGGCACCUUCUUACCACACAUCUCGCGAUACUAAAUUUUAAUAGUCUUCGGUUGGGGCAACCACGGAGUAAAAAUAACCCUCCAAGAUGCAACGGAACUUUCCUAAACAAAAAGCCACAGCUUUAUGUAUCAACAAACUGACAUUAUUAGACCCAAUAUUUUGAUUAACGAACCAAGUUACCCUAGGGAUAACAGCGCAAUCUACUCAAAGAGUCCCUAUCGACGAGUACUCUUACGACCUCGAUGUUGGAUCAAG